CCAAUAGCGUAUAUUAAAGUUGCUGCAGUUAAAAAGCUCGUAGUUGAAUUUCGGGACUAAUAUGUCGGUCGUGCCUCGGUACGUACUGGUAUUUUUGGUUUCUCCCUUCUGACGAACCUUGAUGUCAUUAAUUUGGUGUCUUGGGAAAUCAGGACUGUUACUUUGAAAAAAUUAGAGUGUUUAAAGCAGGCUCACGCUUGAAUACAUUAGCAUGGAAUAAUGAAAUAGGACGUUUGAUUCUAUUUUGUUGGUUUCUAGGAUCGACGUAAUGAUUAAUAGGGAUAGUUGGGGGCAUUAGUAUUCAAUUGUCAGAGGGGAAAUUCUUGGAUUUAUUGAAGACUAACUACUGCGAAAGCAUUUGCCAAGGAUGUUUUCAUUAAUCAAGAACGAAAGUUAGGGGAUCGAAGACGAUCAGAUACCGUCGUAGUCUUAACCAUAAACUAUGCCGACUAGGGAUCGGAUGAUGUUAAUUUUUUAAUGACUCAUUCGGCGCCUUACG
rnacentral:rRNA from 1 species